rnacentral:rRNA from 1 species
UGAGGGAUAUUGCACAAUGGGCGAAAGCCUGAUGCAGCAACGCCGCGUGAGGGAAGACGGUCUUCGGAUUGUAAACCUCUGUCUUCGGUGACGAACAAAUGACGGUAGCCGGGGAGGAAGCCACGGCUAACUACGCGCCAGCAGCCGCGGUAAUACGUAGGUGGCGAGCGUUGUCCGGAAUUACUGGGUGUAAAGGGAGUGUAGGCGGGAAUGCAAGUCAGAAGUGAAAACUAUGGGCUUAACCCAUAGCCUGCUUUUGAAACUGUAUUUCUUGAGUGAAGCAGAGGCAAGCGGAAUUCCUAGUGUAGCGGUGAAAUGCGUAGAUAUUAGGAGGAACACCAGUGGCGAAGGCGGCUUGCUGGGCUUUUUCUGACGCUGAGGCUCGAAAGCGUGGGGAGCAAACAGGAUUAGAUACCCUGGUAGU